rnacentral:snoRNA from 12 species
GUGACUGUCCCUGGUACUGGUUGUAUCUGUUAGUUGUACACUACAGCCUUGGGAAGUCACACACAUCAAAAUGUGGUUCCUGCCGACAGAGUCUGUAUAGUUAUCAGAUUCUCUGUGCGAUGGCUCCACACAUG